AGGUCACGCGAACCCUAACUCAUUACGAGUCUCACGAUUCACGUUCAACACUCUCAGAACCAAAGAACGAAACCUCCUCUCCUCUUCGUGUUCCUCUCAAUCGAAGAACGAAGGUUUCGUAGUGUGCAGUCAUGGGUUGAAGCCUCCUCUCCUCUUCGCGUUCCUCUCAAUCGAAUCGAAGGUUUCCAUAGCAAAGCUCAGCCAUGGAUUGAAUUGCGAUUUGCCUUUCUUCUCCACCAGAUUUGGAUCGAAGAACUCCAUUUUCUCCGUCUCUCCGUGUUCGCCUCGCCCUUCUUCUUCUACGAUUCGCGAUUCCUGCACACUGGUGCGAAUCUUCCAAUGACAAUCGAACCAGCUGCUGAUGUGUUCUUGUGGAGGAAUGAGAAGAUAUCUAUCGUGGCUAUGCUUGCAGUUUUGUGUUUGUGAUCCACUACUCAAGCUUUUAUUCACAAAUCUGAUCUAAGCCUUUCCUGAGGUUCCAAGGAUAUCAGUUUCACUCACCGUAGCAGUCCCUUGGGUAAGAAAAUGUAGGUGGUGUUGUUGUUUAAUUUCAUUCUAAGAUGUUUUUGUUUUGUGUGCCUAAUGUCUGUAAGAUCAAGAUUUGGUCAUGUGGUACAACUCUAUGUUUUGAUGAUAACAAGUAUUUAUUUGUGGAUGAACAACUAUGAUACUCUAAUGUUUGUCUUGAGUGUUUUGACAAACAGGUUCUGAUUCUGACACCAGAAGAUAUAUUCGUCAGAAGUUCUGAAGAUCAGAAGAUCUGAGGAUCAGAGGAUCUGAAGAUCAGAGGAUCUGAAGAUCAGAGGAUCUGAGGAUCAGAGGAUCUGAGGAUCAGAGGAUCUGAAGAUCAGAGGAUCUGAAGAUCAGAGGAUCUGAGGAUCAGAGGAUCAGAGGAUCAGAGGAUCAGAAGAUCUGAGGAUCAGAAGAUCUGAAGACCAGAAGCUCUGAGGGACCAGAGGCUCUGAAGGUUCAGAAGCUCUGAAGGUCCAGAAGCAGAAGUUACGAAGGUCAGAGGAUCCAAGCAUCCCUCUGACUCUGAUCACCAAGCUUCACAAGUUCCAACACGAAGCAUAACUCUGAUCAGAAGUCAAUGGUUAAAGGCAAAUGUCUCUAUCGAGAAGUACAAGAGCAGUGUACUAUUCUGAAAAGCCUACCUACCAAGGUUCAGCCACAGCAGGUUCUGGAAGUUCCAGAAAUGCCCUCCAACGGUCAUAUUCUCUCAACAGAAAUAUCCUUUGCACCUUGGACUAUAAAAGGCUGAAGAAAAGAAGAAAGCUAAGCGAGAAAAACCAAGAGCUGCAAUACAAGAAAAGAUUCAAGCCUCUACUUUCUUCAUCUGUUCUUAUUUAGUUUACACUCAGCUUAUUUAGAAGCAAACCCCUGUAAACACCAACCUCAAACAGUUGUUUGAUUUUCCUUAAGGGACCGGGUAGGUCAGUAUCCUUAAGAAGACUAAGAGAGUGAAUCUUAGUGGUGAUUCCUUUAGGAGAUCAAGGUUGAUCGGAUCCUAGAGAAGACUAAGAGAGUGAAUCUUAGUGUGAGCUAAGUCAGUGUAUUGUUAGUCACUUGUAGGUUUCAAGUGCAGUUGUAACAAUUAUCUGAUUAGUGGAUUGCCUUCAUUCUAAGAAGGAAGAAAUCACCUUAACGGGUGGACUGGAUUAGCUUGAGGGAUUUAUCAAGUGAACCAGGAUAAAAUACUUGUGUGUUUUUCUCUUC